GGCGGGGUUAAACAUGUUAGCGGGAUCCCAACCCUCCCCUAACUGGACAGUGGUAUAACAGUACAACAUAAGAACGAACUAUAAAAAUCAGUUGAAAAAGGCUUAACUCAUCAGAUGGACAAAAAUACAUACAUUUAAUGUUCGGCUUCCUUUCCAGUUGAGGGCCUUCAUUGCUAUCAUAUGAUUCUUUAUUAUAUACAUCGAAUUUCUCUAUUCUUUAUACUUUUUGUCCAAAAUUCUCUUUUUUUUUCUAUAUUCUUCAUAUUAUUUCCUGAUUAUUCUCCUUUAAGUCAAUCCACUACAUGAUUUUUUUCCUCCCCAAAUCAAAAAGCAACAGCUUUUGUGAAAAAAUAAGUGAAAUAUAAAUACGCGUAUAUAUGCAUUGUUUGUUUAAAUAGUUGAAUUGUAUUAUUU
rnacentral:lncRNA from 1 species